rnacentral:misc_RNA from 1 species
GUGAAUCAUCAAAUUUUUGAACGCAAAUUGCGCCUUUUUCGGAUGGCAUGUGUGUGUGAGGGCACCAUUUAACAAAUAAUGUGCAGCGUUUUUUGUUGCACACGCUGAUGAGCUUUCCAAGAAUUUUAAAUUUUCGGUGGCGCAUAAUGAACAGUGAGGAAGUUUAUUUCAGUUUGAGUGUAGUAAAAUUUUUGCUUGGGUUGUGAAAAAACAUACUCGGGACAUGGGUGUGGCGCUUUCUUUUUAUCUAU